ACAGUACCCAUUUUAGAAUGCAAAUUACCCCACUAGUGCAAAUGGCGCCUGUCUCUGUCAAUUUAAAGUUCUUAUAUUCAGUCCUACUUUCUCUCUCAUACGCACAAAUUUUACGGAAAAGCCAUAUGGCCCGCCGCCCCUGCAAUAGGGGCACUACGUAGGCGCCGUGUUUUUGGCCUGAUUUCAACCCUGGCCAAAAAGCAGGGUUCUUUUAUAUCAUUCGCUGCGCUUCAGUCCCUCUCAAUCUAACUGGAAAUGAUCGAGUGUCUUGCUGAUGAAAGGGCUAUUAUUGUUACUGAUCUUUUUUAUAUGGAAACUUUUAUGUGUCUUUGGUUGUUUGAAAUUCUUUAUCUAAUUAUUAUUUCGAUUUUCUUGCAUGUAGUGUUAGAAAAAUGACUUUAUUGGGCUGGAUUUGGCAUAAUUUUAAGUGGGACUGUGCAUUCGUUUUGGAA